rnacentral:rRNA from 1 species
AUGUUGGACAAGUACUCUUUGAAUAAACAUCCGUUUUUAACGCAGAUAUAUGAGGUCGGGCGUAAAUGGGCAAAGUCGUAUUUCCGAGGGGUGUUCUGUGCUAGGAUGACCAUCACUCAAUGGUGCGAGAGCGUGAACCAUCUGUUGAAAGGUUACGUGCCUCCAGGGUGCCCAAUGCAUCUGUUUCUGAAGCAAUUUCAGAAAUUGCAAUUUGACAGAGAGGUGGAGGAGAGUUUUCAGGAGAAGAGGACAUCCCUGAGCAGUGUGUGUCUUAGGGUCAACCUUCCAAUUGAGAAGCAUGCUAGCAAAGUAUACAUCAGAGCUAUGUUUGAAAAGUUCGGAGAAGAAUUGUACAAGUGUGGGGCACAUGUGUUGGAUGAGGUAGUGCCUAGGAGGAUUUAUAACUCAACCCAUGUAGAAGCGGCGAAUAGGGAGAAAUGGAGCAAAGUUGAAUUCAAGAUAGAAGUGAAUGAAGACGAGAGUUUUUUCAGUUGCGAGUGCGUUUAUUUUGAACAUGCUGGGCUAGUAUGCUGCCAUGCAUUGCAGGUGAGCUCGGUGUUUCACCGCCAACGGUUUAAUUAUGUUCCCCUCACAUGUUUUGCUACCCGAGAUGCAAGUCUUACAGAAAUCAUUUGUUUCCACCGUGUUACAUGUGAUGGUGCAUUUCCGAUUGCAAAAAUACCCCAGAAGCAUAUGCUUAAAAGAUGGACGAGAGAGGCACCUGACAUUCUCCCUAAACAUUUGGUCCUAUUGAAGAUGAAUACCUGA